rnacentral:rRNA from 1 species
AUUGAACGCUGGCGGCAUGCCUUACACAUGCAAGUCGAACGGCAGCACGGGAGCAAUCCUGGUGGCGAGUGGCGAACGGGUGAGUAAUAUAUCGGAACGUGCCCAGUCGUGGGGAUAACGUAGCGAAAGCUACGCUAAUACCGCAUACGAUCUACGGAUGAAAGCGGGGGAUCGCAAGACCUCGCGCGAUUGGAGCGGCCGAUAUCAGAUUAGGUAGUUGGUGAGGUAAGGCUCACCAAGCCGACGAUCUGUAGCUGGUCUGAGAGGACGACCAGCCACACUGGGACUGAGACACGGCCCAGACUCCUACGGGAGGCAGCAGUGGGGAAUUUUUGGACAAUGGGCGCAAGCCUGAUCCAGCAAUGCCGCGUGCAGGAUGAAGGCCUUCGGGUU